rnacentral:lncRNA from 1 species
UUUGACGUUUCUGUAGUGUGGGUCAGCUGGUAGUGAAUUCGGUCAGCUUAUCGAAGCCUAUAUGGGUUCCCGAUGUCACAUCGCAGCUACCGCAUUGGAGGGUUAAGAGCCGCUGACAAAUCUCUUUCGGGAAGGGAAGAAGAGUUCCAAACAAAAGAUCUACUACCCUGAGAAGCGGUGAAGUGCUCCUGGGGCCCACCAAGGCCACACAAGUCAAGGAGUGGAUGGCCUUGCCCCAGCUAUGGCUCAGAUCACCUUUGCAGGAUGACAUCUUGUUGGGAGAUGGUCAUCAGAGACAGGGCCAUGGAAGACGCUGUCAGGAGGAGGCACAGAGGAAAGGCUAUGGGAGCACAAAGCAAGAAAGUGGCCUUCUGCAAGCCAGGAAGAGAGGCCUCCCCAGAAACCAACUCUACCAGCACAUUGAUCUUGGACUUUUGGCCUCUAGAACAUUGAGAAAAUAAAAGUCUGCUGUUAAACCACCCAACCUUUGGUAUCUUUCUAUGGCAGCCUGAGCUGACUAACACCCUUGGACACAGGUGGAGGAACUGGUAAUCUUCUCAGGGCUUUGCCUGAAAUGGUGUUGUGAAAUGUUCCAGCAAAGCCCAUUUAGGAGAGCCUAUAUGGACAAGGAUUCUUGCUGCACUUUGUGUGGGUAAUCAGGCCAAGUAUAUGGGACUGAAGCUUCUUUUGCAGAUUUUUAUGCCGAAUUUCUAGCUCCUGCGUCUCUAUUGCGGGCCCUAAAAGUCGCUGUUUCACUAAGCUUUGGAACCUGACUCCGGGA